rnacentral:snRNA from 1 species
AUACCUUUCUAUGCCUUUUGGCUAAGAUAAAUUGUAAUAUUUGUUCUUGUGUGAUGUCGCAAUGCACGAGCACGUUACUAGUAGUUUAUUUAUUGCAUACCUUUUGACCAGAAGGAAAAAAUAGAGGUCUAAGAGAAAGGAAAAAUAGAUUGCAUAAUUGCUCACUCUUUACCCAUA